ACGUAGGGGGCGAGCGUUGUCCGGAAUUACUGGGCGUAAAGAGCGUGUAGGCGGGUAACCAAGUCAGGUGUGAAAGACUGCGGCUCAACCGCAGGAUUGCAUCUGAAACUGAUUAUCUUGAGGGCAGGAGAGGACAGUGGAAUUCCUGGUGUAGCGGUGAAAUGCGUAGAAAUCAGGAGGAAUACCAGUGGCGAAGGCGACUGUCUGGACUGACCCUGACGCUGAGGCGCGAAAGCGUGGGGAGCAAACAG
rnacentral:rRNA from 1 species